ensembl:snRNA U1 U1 spliceosomal RNA
CAAGUGACCUUAGCUAGCAGGAUCACAAAGGUGGUUUUCCCAGGGUGAGGCUUUUCUGGAUGUGCUACUCCUGUGAUUUCCCCAAAUGUGGGAAAGUCCACUGAAUAAUUUGUGGUAGUAUGUGUAUGUGUUGGGGGGAAGACAGG